CACCCCCCAACACACCUCUGUGAUAAAAGGACAGCAAUGUUGUCCUGUCUUUGGAUGAAUAUUUCCCCGUCUGGUAUAUGAUAUCUAUGUACCUAACGUUAGGUCUACGUAUGUUUCAUCAAUGUCCUGUUAUCUUUAUGUACCUAACGUUAGGUCUGUAUGUAAAAGAUAUGUAGUUUUGUAAUCUCUUUGUACCUAACGUUAGGUCUACGUAUGUUCCUAAAGUAUUGUCCUAUCAUUUAUUUCUCCAUCUGUUAUCUCUAUGUACCUAACUUUAGAUCUACGUAAUAUGUCCCCCUUAUAUUGUCCUGUUAUCUCUAUGUGCCGAACGUUAGGUCUGUAUGUUCCCGUAAUGUCUUUCUGUUAUCUCUAUGUACCUGACGUUAGGUCUACAUAUGUUUCAUCAAUGCUGUCCUGUUAUUGUUAUCUCUAUGUACCUAACGUUAGGUGUACAUAUGUUUCAGCAGUGUUCCCCUCCCCCUCCUCUACCGUUGCUUCAGUGUAUAAAGGAACGAAUGUGAGGCAGCGUCGUCAAAUCAGGCACUCGUCAAAAUAACGAAAUCGAAUAAAUCAGCGUUUUUCCGCA